rnacentral:rRNA from 1 species
UUAAGCGACUAAGCGUACACGGUGGAUGCCCUGGCAGUCAGAGGCGAUGAAGGACGUGCUAAUCUGCGAUAAGCGUCGGUAAGGUGAUAUGAACCGUUAUAACCGGCGAUUUCCGAAUGGGGAAACCCAGUGUGAUUCGUCACACUAUCAUUAACUGAAUCCAUAGGUUAAUGAGGCGAACCGGGGGAACUGAAACAUCUAAGUACCCCGAGGAAAAGAAAUCAACCGAGAUUCCCCCAGUAGCGGCGAGCGAACGGGGAGGAGCCCAGAGCCUGAAUCAGUGUGUGUGUUAGUGGAAGCGUCUGGAAAGGCGCGCGAUACAGGGUGACAGCCCCGUACACAAAAAUGCACAUGCUGUGAGCUCGAUGAGUAGGGCGGGACACGUGGUAUCCUGUCUGAAUAUGGGGGGGACCAUCCUCCAAGGCUAAAUACUCCUGACUGACCGAUAGUGAACCAGUACCGUGAGGGAAAGGCGAAAAGAACCCCGGCGAGGGGAGUGAAAAAGAACCUGAAACCGUGUACGUACAAGCAGUGGGAGCACAGAGCAAUCUUGUGUGACUGCGUACCUUUUGUAUAAUGGGUCAGCGACUUAUAUUCUGUAGCAAGGUUAACCGAAUAGGGGAGCCGAAGGGAAACCGAGUCUUAACUGGGCGUUAAGUUGCAGGGUAUAGACCCGAAACCCGGUGAUCUAGCCAUGGGCAGGUUGAAGGUUGGGUAACACUAACUGGAGGACCGAACCGACUAAUGUUGAAAAAUUAGCGGAUGACUUGUGGCUGGGGGUGAAAGGCCAAUCAAACCGGGAGAUAGCUGGUUCUCCCCGAAAGCUAUUUAGGUAGCGCCUCGUGAAUUCAUCUCCGGGGGUAGAGCACUGUUUCGGCAAGGGGGUCAUCCCGACUUACCAACCCGAUGCAAACUGCGAAUACCGGAGAAUGUUAUCACGGGAGACACACGGCGGGUGCUAACGUCCGUCGUGAAGAGGGAAACAACCCAGACCGCCAGCUAAGGUCCCAAAGUCAUGGUUAAGUGGGAAACGAUGUGGGAAGGCCCAGACAGCCAGGAUGUUGGCUUAGAAGCAGCCAUCACUUAAAGAAAGCGUAAUAGCUCACUGGUCGAGUCGGCCUGCGCGGAAGAUGUAACGGGGCUAAACCAUGCACCGAAGCUGCGGCAGCGACACUGCGUGUUGUUGGGUAGGGGAGCGUUCUGUAAGCCUGUGAAGGUGUGCUGUGAGGCAUGCUGGAGGUAUCAGAAGUGCGAAUGCUGACAUAAGUAACGAUAAAGCGGGUGAAAAGCCCGCUCGCCGGAAGACCAAGGGUUCCUGUCCAACGUUAAUCGGGGCAGGGUGAGUCGACCCCUAAGGCGAGGCCGAAAGGCGUAGUCGAUGGGAAACAGGUUAAUAUUCCUGUACUUGGUGUUACUGCGAAGGGGGGACGGAGAAGGCUAUGUUGGCCGGGCGACGGUUGUCCCGGUUUAAGCGUGUAGGCUGGUUUUCCAGGCAAAUCCGGAAAAUCAAGGCUGAGGCGUGAUGACGAGGCACUACGGUGCUGAAGCAACAAAUGCCCUGCUUCCAGGAAAAGCCUCUAAGCAUCAGGUAACAUCAAAUCGUACCCCAAACCGACACAGGUGGUCAGGUAGAGAAUACCAAGGCGCUUGAGAGAACUCGGGUGAAGGAACUAGGCAAAAUGGUGCCGUAACUUCGGGAGAAGGCACGCUGAUAUGUAGGUGAAGUCCCUCGCGGAUGGAGCUGAAAUCAGUCGAAGAUACCAGCUGGCUGCAACUGUUUAUUAAAAACACAGCACUGUGCAAACACGAAAGUGGACGUAUACGGUGUGACGCCUGCCCGGUGCCGGAAGGUUAAUUGAUGGGGUCAGCGCAAGCGAAGCUCUUGAUCGAAGCCCCGGUAAACGGCGGCCGUAACUAUAACGGUCCUAAGGUAGCGAAAUUCCUUGUCGGGUAAGUUCCGACCUGCACGAAUGGCGUAAUGAUGGCCAGGCUGUCUCCACCCGAGACUCAGUGAAAUUGAACUCGCUGUGAAGAUGCAGUGUACCCGCGGCAAGACGGAAAGACCCCGUGAACCUUUACUAUAGCUUGACACUGAACAUUGAGCCUUGAUGUGUAGGAUAGGUGGGAGGCUUUGAAGUGUGGACGCCAGUCUGCAUGGAGCCGACCUUGAAAUACCACCCUUUUAAUGUUUGAUGUUCUAACGUGGACCCGUGAUCCGGGUUGCGGACAGUGUCUGGUGGGUAGUUUGACUGGGGCGGUCUCCUCCUAAAGAGUAACGGAGGAGCACGAAGGUUGGCUAAUCCUGGUCGGACAUCAGGAGGUUAGUGCAAUGGCAUAAGCCAGCUUGACUGCGAGCGUGACGGCGCGAGCAGGUGCGAAAGCAGGUCAUAGUGAUCCGGUGGUUCUGAAUGGAAGGGCCAUCGCUCAACGGAUAAAAGGUACUCCGGGGAUAACAGGCUGAUACCGCCCAAGAGUUCAUAUCGACGGCGGUGUUUGGCACCUCGAUGUCGGCUCAUCACAUCCUGGGGCUGAAGUAGGUCCCAAGGGUAUGGCUGUUCGCCAUUUAAAGUGGUACGCGAGCUGGGUUUAGAACGUCGUGAGACAGUUCGGUCCCUAUCUGCCGUGGGCGCUGGAGAACUGAGGGGGGCUGCUCCUAGUACGAGAGGACCGGAGUGGACGCAUCACUGGUGUUCGGGUUGUCAUGCCAAUGGCACUGCCCGGUAGCUAAAUGCGGAAGAGAUAAGUGCUGAAAGCAUCUAAGCACGAAACUUGCCCCGAGAUGAGUUCUCCCUGACCCUUUAAGGGUCCUGAAGGAACGUUGAAGACGACGACGUUGAUAGGCCGGGUGUGUAAGCGCAGCGAUGCGUUGAGCUAACCGGUACUAAUGAACCGUGAGGCUUAACCUU